UCGAGCGAGGAAGACGUAGCAAUACGUUUGUAAAGCGGCGAACGGGUGAGGAAUACAUGGGUAACCUACCCUAGAGUGGGGAAUAACUAGCCGAAAGGUUAGCUAAUACCGCGUACGCUCCCUGGACUUCGGUUCAGGGGGGAAAGCGCUACCGAGGGUAGCGCGCUCUUGGAUGGGCUCAUGUCCUAUCAGCUUGCUGGUGAGGUAACGGCUCACCAAGGCUUCGACGGGUAGCUGGUCUGAGAGGACGAUCAGCCACACUGGCACUGCGACACGGGCCAGACUCCUACGGGAGGCAGCAGUAAGGAAUAUUGCGCAAUGGACGAAAGUCUGACGCAGCGACGCCGCGUGGGGGAUGAAGGUCUUCGGAUUGUAAACCCCUUUCGGCAGGGAAGAUGGAACGGGUAACCGUUCGGACGGUACCUGCAGAAGCAGCCACGGCUAACUUCGUGCCAGCAGCCGCGGUAAUACGAAGGUGGCAAGCGUUGUUCGGAUUCACUGGGCGUACAGGGAGCGUAGGCGGUUGAGUAAGCCCUCCGUGAAAUCUCCGGGCCUAACCCGGAAAGUGCAGAGGGGACUGCUCGGCUAGAGGAUGGGAGAGGAGCGCGGAAUUCCCGGUGUAGCGGUGAAAUGCGUAGAGAUCGGGAGGAAGGCCGGUGGCGAAGGCGGCGCUCUGGAACAUUUCUGACGCUGAGGCUCG
rnacentral:rRNA from 1 species